CGGACGGGUGAGUAACGCGUGGAAAACCUGCCGUAUACUGGGGGAUAACACUUAGAAAUAGGUGCUAAUACCGCAUAAGCGCACAGCUUCGCAUGGAGCGGUGUGAAAAACUCUGGUGGUAUACGAUGGUUCCGCGUCUGAUUAGCUAGUUGGUGGGGUAAUGGCCUACCAAGGCAACGAUCAGUAGCCGGCCUGAGAGGGUGAACGGCCACAUUGGGACUGAGACACGGCCCAAACUCCUACGGAAGGCAGCAG
rnacentral:rRNA from 1 species